rnacentral:rRNA from 1 species
CCUUUAGAUGUUCUGGGCCGCACACGCGCUACACUGAAGGAGGCAGCGUGUACUCCUGGAUCGAAAGAUUUGGGUAACCCGCGAAUCUCCUUCGUGCUAGGGAUUGAGGUUUGCAAUUAUCCUUCAUGAACGAGGAAUUCCCAGUAAGUGCAAGUCAUAAGCUUGCGCUGACUACGUCCCUGCCCUUUGUACACACCGCCCGUCGCUACUACCGAUUGAAUGAUUUAGUGAGGACUUCGGACUGGGACCGAUGCGGCUUUCGGGCUGCGUCGGUAUUCUGGAAAGAUGUCCAAACUGUAUCAUUUAGAGGAAGUAAAAGUCGUAACA